rnacentral:lncRNA from 1 species
AGAAUUCAAUUGCAACUAUUUAUUUGUGUAUAUUUUUAUGUGGGAUUGAAGUUGUAACAUUUGCAUCAAGUUCAAGUUUAAUAUGUUGAACAUAAUUUGAAUGUGACGGUAAAAAAAAUUUGGAAACAUUAUCUCAAAUUAUAUUAAUUUCAAUUAUAUAAAUUAUUCCAAAUAUUCAAGUAGCUAAUAUUGGAAUAGGCUACGAGUUCAGGAUAUUUACCAGAAAUUUAAAUUUCCACGACGCUAAACCUCUUUCAGUCGUUGAAUAAGACAAAGCAGGUACUGUUUCGAUUGAUUUUGGUCACAGAUUGAACGUUUUCAUUUCAAACUAAUGUUUCUCAUCACAAAUUCUCAAAUCAAUUUGAUAUACUGAAAAUAAUCGAACACUUUAGCUAUCAAAUUAUAGACUUUUGUAGCUGAAGAAGACAAUCCAGGUAAUAAUUCGAUUAUUUUGGUUACGAAUUGAAUGUUCAAGUCACGAUUGACCAUUCCGAUCAAAAUUUUUGUUUUAUCUAUGAUCUAGUUGUAUCGUAAGUUUACCAGCGAAUCAGAAUCGCAGGACACAAGAAAUUUGAUCAUAGCAGGAGAAGAGAUUUCAGGUAAUCGAUUCUAUUAUUGUGGUUACGAAUCGAAAUACUCCAAUCACAAAUUGAUUUUUCUCGUCACAAGCUUAGCAAAAAAAUCCAAUGCAUGCCACAAGAUUUUAGGUAAAAGCUUCAAAUAUUUUGGUCAUAAAUUGAAUGCUCUAGUCACGACAGUAUUUUUCUCAUCAUAGAUUCAGUAAAAAGUCUAAUUUACUGGCCAUAGAAACUCUGAUUGGCACCAAGGAAAAUAUUCCAGUAACCAAUCCAAAUAUUUUGGUCAAAACUUGAAUGCUCUCAUCAGGAAUUGAUGAAUUUGGUCACAAGUUAUUAUGCACAAGCUGAAACUGAAAUUAUUCGGACAAAUCACAUGAUAUUGACUGAUAUAAUUACACAAUUUUGUUCUAUGACCUGCUAUCUGUAUAUGUGACUUAUAUGUGUACUGUGUACAACGGAAUAUGAAGGAACACGUGAACUAUGUAGAAUGAAAUGUGACAUAUUUCUCACCUAUUGUGAUAAACAUAUUAGUCAUAUAUGACUUGUUUAAAAAUGUGACAUGUAUUUUGUUAUAGCCAUUCCUACAUUAACUCUGUGUUGUAUUAUUUUCAACAUGAGACCAUUGUUGAUAUUAAUUUU